AAAAUGUUUCACCCCUUCCCGUGGUCCCCUGAUCUAGUGCUGAGGACCCCUCACCAUCAGGAAUUCCUUCUUGCCAUCUAACCUCAAUCUUGCCUACUGCAGUUUCAGCCAACUUCUCUCUCUCCUGAAAUCAGUGGGGGUGGAGAAUGACUGGUUAUCAUCUUCUCUGCACUGGCCCUUUGGAGAUUCAGGGACCCAGUUCUGGCUGCAUCACCCUCUCUGUCCUCCUGGCGCUGAAGAGUGGGCUGGAUCAGACCACCAUCUCCCCUACAGGAGAGAGAGCAGAAAUAGGCAGACAGACUGACAGACAGCUGGCCCCUGGACUCGAGGCAGAAAGGCCCUUCUCACUUCUUCACUGCAUGGCCUCUGCCCACCUUGCACCUGUACAUCCCCACCCCAGCACCCUGGAAGCCGCUGUCAUGAUUAGAUCGGGUCUCGGAAGGGAAGUAGCCAUCACACCAUUAAAAAGCCUGUGGAC
ensembl:lncRNA